UACAGAGGGUGCGAGCGUUGUCCGGAAUCACUGGGCGUAAAGGGCGCGUAGGCGGUCUCUUAAGCGUGUGGUGAAAGCCCGGGGCUCAACUCCGGGUCGGCCGUGCGAACUGGGGGACUGGAGCUUGUCAGAGGCAGGUGGAAUUCCGGGUGUAGCGGUGGAAUGCGUAGAGAUCCGGAAGAACACCGGUGGCGAAAGCGGCCUGCUGGGACAGUGCUGACGCUGAGGCGCGACAGCGUGGGGAGCAAACAGG
rnacentral:rRNA from 1 species